rnacentral:rRNA from 1 species
CCUACGGGGGGCAGCAGUGGGGGAUAUUGCACAAUGGGGGAAACCCUGAUGCAGCGACGCCGCGUGUGGGAAGACGGUCCUCUGGAUUGUAAACCACUGUCUCCAGGGACGAAGAUGACGGUACCUGGGGAGGAAGCUCCGGCUAACAACGUGCCAGCAGCCGCGGUAAUACGUAGGGAGAGAGCGUUGUCCGGAAUAACUGGGUGUAAGGGGAGGGUAGGCGGGGAUGCAAGUUGGGGGUCAAAACUACCGGCUCAACUGGUAGUCGCACUCAAAACUGCAGCUCUGGAGUGAAGUAGAGGUAGGCGGAAUUCCUAGUGUAGCGGUGAAAUGCGUAGAUAUUAGGAGGAACACCAGUGGCGAAGGCGGCCUGCUGGGCUGUUACUGACGCUGAGGCUCGAAAGUGUGGGGAGCAAACAGGAUUAGAUACCCGGGUAGUC